rnacentral:rRNA from 1 species
UACGGGGGGGGCAAGCGUUGUUCGGAAUUACUGGGCGUAAAGGGCCAGUAGGCGGCCAACUAAGUCCGACGUGAAAUCCCAAGGCUUAACCUUGGAACUGCGUCGGAUACUGGAUGGCUUGAAUUCGGGAGAGGGAUGCAGAAUUCCAGGUGUAGCGGUGAAAUGCGUAGAUAUCGGAAAGAACACCAACGGCGAAAGCACUCUGCUGGGCCGACACUGACACUGAGAGACGAAAGCUAGGGGAGCGAAUGGG